rnacentral:ncRNA from 1 species
CUCAUGGAGAGUUUGAUCCUGGCUCAGGAUGAAUGCUGGCGGCAUGCUUAACACUUGCAAUUCGGAUGGGAAGUGGUGUUUCCACUGGCGUAUGGGUGAGUAACACGUAAGAACCUGCCCUUGGGAGGGGAACAACAGAUGGAAACGGCUGCUAAUACCCCAUAGGCUGAGAAAAAGGAGGAAUCCUCCCAAGGAGGGGCUCGCGUCUGAUUAGUUAGUUGGUGAGGCAAUGGCUUACCAAGGUGACGAUCAGUAGCUGGUCUGAGAGGAUGAUCAGCCACACUUGGACUGAGACAUGGCCUAGACUCAUAUGGGAGGCAGCAGUGGGGAAUUUUCCACAAUGGGUGAAAGCCUGACGGAGCAAUGUCGCGUGAAGGAAAAAGGCCCACGGGUCAUGAAAUUCUUUUCUCGUAGAAGAAACAAUGAUGGUAUCUGAGGAAUAAGCAUCGGCUAACCUUGUGCCAGCAGCCGCGGUAAGACAGAGGAUGCAAGCGUUAUCCGGAAUGAUUGGGUGUAAAGCGUCUGUAGGUGGCUUUUCAAGUCCGCCGUCAAAUCCCAUGGCUCAAACCUGGAAAGGCAGUGGAAACUACCAAGAUGGAGUAUGGUAGGGGCAGAGGGAAUUUUUGGUGGAGUGGUGAAAUGCAUUGAGAUCGGAAAGAACACCAACGACGAAAGCACUCUGCUGGCCCGACACAGACACUGAGAGAUGAAAUCUAGGGGAGAAAAUGGGAUUAGAUACCCCAGUAGUCCUAGCCGUAAAUGAUGGAUACUAAGUGCUGUGCGUAUCGACCCACGCAGUGUUGUAGCUAACGCGUUAAUUAUCCCACCUGGGGAGUACGUUCGCAAGAAUGAAACUCAAAGGAAUUGGCGGGGGCCCACACAAGCGGUGGAGCAUGUGGUUCAAUUCGAUGCAAAGCGAAGAACCUUACCAGGGAUUGACAUGUCAUGAAUCCUCUC